rnacentral:rRNA from 1 species
AGGUAUAGCGUUGUGUCGUAAUUAUAAGGGGUAGAGCACUGAAUGGGCUAGGGCAUAUACCAAUGUACCAAACCCUAUCAAACUCCGAAUACUUAUAAUGUAAUCACAGCAGUCAGGCGGCGAGUGAUAAAAUCCGUCGUCAAGAGGGGAACAACCCAGACUAACAGCUAAGGUCCCUAAAUCUCAUUUAAGUGGAAAACGAUGUGGAGUUACUGAAACAACCAGGAGGUUGGCUUAGAAGCAGCCAUCCUUUAAAGAAAGCGUAAUAGCUCACUGGUCUAGUGAUUCUGCGCGGAAAAUAUAACGGGGCUAAAAUGAGUACCGAAGCUUUAGACUUAGUUUUUAACUAAGUGGUAGGAGAGCGUUCUAUUCAGCGUUGAAGGUAUACCGGUAAGGAGUGCUGGAGCGGAUAGAAGUGAGCAUGCAGGCAUGAGUAGCGAUAAUUGAUGUGAGAAUCAUCAACGCCGAAAACCCAAGGUUUCCUACGCGAUGCUCGUCAUCGUAGGGUUAGUCGGGUCCUAAGCAAAGUCCGAAAGGGGUAUGCGAUGGAAAAUUGGUUAAUAUUCCAAUACCAAUUAUUAUGUGCGAUGGAAGGACGCUUAAAGUUAGUGGAGCUAGCGGAUGGAAGUGCUAGUCUAAGGGUGUAGGUUGAGUUAUAGGCAAAUCCGUAACUCUUUAUCCGAGACCUAAAAGGCUCAUGACGCUCUUCGGAGUAGAUUGAGAAUCCAUGAUACUAUCGAGCCAAGAAAAGUUUCUAAGUUUAGUAAUAAUUGCCCGUACCGUAAACCGACACAGGUGGGUGGGAUGAGUAUUCUAAGGCGCGUGGAAGAACUCUCUUUAAGGAACUCUGCAAAAUAGCACCGUAUCUUCGGUAUAAGGUGUGCCUAACUUUGUAUUAAGAUUCACUCCCAAAGCAAAGAAGGUUACAACAAAGAGUCCCUCCCGACUGUUUACCAUAAACACAGCACUCUGCUAACACGUAAGUGGAUGUAUAGGGUGUGACGCCUGCCCGGUGCUCGAAGGUUAAUUGAUGAUGUUAGCUAUGCGAAGCAUUUGAUCGAAGCCCGAGUAAACGGCGGCCGUAACUAUAACGGUCCUAAGGUAGCGAAAUUCCUUGUCGGUUAAAUACCGACCUGCAU